ensembl:lncRNA
AUGACUGAGCCUCAUGUUGUACUCAGGGGCUGUUGCAGAUGGGGCAGCACAGAGAACGCCCACUUUCCUAAAACCAGGGGUCUUCAUAGAACAGAGAAGUGGAGGAAGCUUUGGUCCUCUAGAUGUCAAUGGGCACCAACUCCCACCAGCUUCUGCCAACAUAUCCAAUGGAGAGGAAUUAUGGGAGUUGUGGUCCAGCAACAUCUGUUGAGCCACAGGUUUCCCAUUCCUGCCUUAGAAUGUAACAGAGCUCCCUUCUUCCAAAGCCUUAAACCCAUUGCAUUUCACAGAGCAUGCUUUUUUAAAAAAAAGAAAAGAAAUUUCUUUGCCCAGGUAGUCUGAAGUGUGCAACUUAGUGAUCAGAUUUGCAUCAUUUCUCCUGUGCUUGCAUGCUUUAUUUUGGCUUUGCUAGAAGCCCAGCAGGACGCUCCCAAGCAUACUUUUGCACCCAUGAGAACCAGAAAGAUGCCUUAAAAAUAAAAUAAAAAGCGGAGAUUCCCAAGAAGCUGAAUUCUGUUCUGUGCUUAUCUCUUAUGUGUGGCUCUCUCUCUUUUAAUCCUCUUGCUUUUUAACGCCUGUAUCGGGCACAGAGAAGCUGUGACUCUUCAGGUGUUGGUCCAAUGCACCUCCCAUCAUCUCUGCCCUUUAGACUUGCUGGCUCAAGCUGAAGGAGUUGCAGCUUUAAAUGUGGAGGAACCCAGGCUCCACAGCAUUUACCUAAAGAAGUAGUGCCAGCUGUGUUGGAAAUUAGGUGAGGUGCAUCAGAAAAAGGAAACCAGGUACUUGCAAAACAACAACAACAACCCUGCCUUAUGAAUUUGAAGGGUUACAAUUUUAUGAGGAUGGUAACGAAAAAAGACAAUGCAUACAACUUUUCAAACAAUGCAUGAAUGGAAAGGAAGGAUCAAAAGCUUGGGUUAGAAUAAUGGGAAACAGAAGGGAUGUCAAUCAUCAUACUCACAACCAAUGGUGUAAAUCAUAUUGGGGUUCCCGCCUCACUUUGGAGUAAGCUCUGCCACAACUACAAACUCUGAAAGCCAUGUGCCAAAUAUCUUGCUUCUGGGAAGGAAGCAGCGUGGCUCUCCUCCUCAAAUGUGAAACAUCUGAUGUAGAAUUUUAUUGUUCCAGUGGGAUUUUUAAAUAUUUGUUUUUUAGCAUUUGAAUAAUUUACAGGUGAUGUCACUGAACAAUGGACUUGGUACAAUAUGUAGCAGACCGUUUCUAUUAGCUGUUUCUAAUGCAGCUGUCCAAAAGCUAGACUCUUACUCCCGUAGACACUUGUGAACUGUCAGAAGAUAUAUUGUAAUUCGGGAAUAAAAGGAAGCUGCUGUAUCAUAUUUACAGAGGUGCACUGUACAUGUGUGUGCUUGCGUGCACACAGUUCUGGUUUGUAUUGCAAAAUCCGCUUAUCCUGCUUCUCCAGUCACCAUCUGGAAUGUGGUACUGAGGCUGCAUUUCUUUGCAAGGCAACUGUUAUAUACUGUAUUACUUUAACUACAUGCUAUGUGAAGACAUGGGUGGCGCUGUGGUCUAAACCACUGAGCCUCUUGGGCUUGCUGAUCGGAAGGUUGGCGGUUCGAAUACGUGCGAUGGGGUGAGCUCCCGUUGCUCUGUCCCAGCUUAGCAGUUUGAAAGCAUACCAGUGCAAGUAAAUAAAUAGGUACUGCAGCUGCGGGAAGGUAAACAUGCGCUCUAGCACUCAUCACAGUCCACCGUGCACCAGUAGGAGUUUAGUCAUGCUGGCCACAUGACCCGGAAAACUGUCUGUGGACAAAUGCCUGCUCCCUCGGCCUGAGAAGUGAGAUGAGUGCCACAAUCCCAUAGUUGCCUUUGACUGGACUUAACCGUCCAGGGGUCUUUUACCUUUUUCUUUCCCUUAUGUGAAGAAGUACUUUCUUUUGCUGUGAACCUUCCAACAACAUUCAGCUUCAUUGGCUGUCUCCAAGUUCAGGUGCUAUGAUUUUUUCUUGCCGCUGUCAAAGUCAGUGAGCCCUUGGAGCGGAAGGGGAGGGGAGCAGAAAACAGUGCUUAAGAGGCAAGAUCAGACCCCUGAACUGUGGUUGUUAGCCACCCCUACUUUAAAGGUUUUCCCUCUCACAGGCACCGGGUAGUACAGACGCAUUCCUGCAGAUGCUACUACUACUUUGCAGUCAGCCUGUGUCAAGGCAUCUCAAUCACUUCCCAAAAAUUGCCUCGCUGCGUCUGGGCCACUGUGCUAUGGUGAUAACUUGUGAAGCGAAAACAGCAGCAAAAUCCCAGCCUCAGCCGCGGAUCAUAUGCUAGAAUCGGACCAUAGUGAGGUUAAGGAUAUGAAUAAAAACCUCCCAAGCCUGCAGCUUGCCUUGAGAUC